rnacentral:lncRNA from 1 species
GAUAAAGACAUAAAAGGAUUUAUAGUUGGGGAGAAUUUAUGAUCAAAGGAUUGUCUCCAAUAGGGUAUAUCUGAGGUUCCAUACCAGGAGUGUCAUUAAAAUUGAUGCCAAUUUUAUGAAAUAUGUUCAUUUUGAAGCAGAUGUGUAUUAGUAGACAAGCCAAUAAUUUAAACAUACUCAAUGAAAAUUCCAUAGUGCAAUUUUAUCUAAGGUAUUUUAUGAUUACUCUCUUAGAGCCACAGUUUUAAGCAGCUUUUUCCUAAACUAGGCUCGUUAUUAAUUUUCGACACUUCAUACUAUGAUGAAGACAUCAUAUACUUUAGACAGCCUUAAUAGAACAAAUUAUUCAACAAAGUUGAGUAUACGUUCUAUAAAGUAAAUCACAUUCUCUCAUUGAGUGAGCUGAGUCUUUUUGAGUGUGGGGACAGAGUCCCUGCAGUCAGGAGCUCCAAGGCAUAGAACUGCCUGCCCUGCUCUGUCCAGCAGGUAACGCUGCAUUCCACAGGCCUCUUCUUCAGCCUUGCCCACUCAGCAGAGUACCUCAGGUUGUGACCAUGAACGACUGAUGAGAGUAACUUCUGACUUGCUCAGGGGAUCCUCUUGCCAUCAAUUCCCUUCAGUAUGACCAACCGCAGUGGCUUACUCGCUUCUUGUCCAGACCAUCCACCAUCUGUCUGCCCCAUGAUGCUCUCAAACCCCAAAGUCCUAAUACAGUGAUGGUGGAAGCAGAGGCAGGAAGUGAGCAGUGCCAUCACUGGAGUGAAGGAUUCAGUGAGGUUCUGAGACUCCCUUACAACCCCUCAGUUUGUAUUUAGUCUAAUACAUUCUCCUCCCCUAGCUCAAAGCUCCAAGAUUUAGAUAAGCACAAUUUAAGAUAGGUUCCCUGAAUACCCUAUUAGGUAAUGUUGGGAUGUAGUUGAAAUGGCAACUUUUAUUAAUGAUGAAUGGCAAUGACUUUUAAGUUUGAUCACAGAGUGUUUGCAUAUUUUCUUACUAUUUUUGGUAUGAUUUAAAAAUUAUUGGUUCAUUAACCAUUUAAAAGAGGAAUAAUUCAGUAGAGGCACUAGGAGGUUGAACAGGAUCAUUCUUCAGUAAUA